GACGUAGGGCGCGAGCGUUGUCCGGAUUUAUUGGGCGUAAAGAGCGUGUAGGCGGCCAGGUAGGUCCGUUGUGAAAACUCGAGGCUCAACCUCGAGACGUCGAUGGAAACCAUCUGGCUAGAGUCCGGAAGAGGAGAGUGGAAUUCCUGGUGUAGCGGUGAAAUGCGCAGAUAUCAGGAAGAACACCUAUGGCGAAGGCAGCUCUCUGGGACGGUACUGACGCUGAGACGCGAAAGCGUGGGGAGCGAACAGG
rnacentral:rRNA from 1 species